rnacentral:rRNA from 1 species
GUGCCAGCAGCCGCGGUAAUACGGAGGAUGCAAGCGUUAUCCGGAUUCAUUGGGUUUAAAGGGUGUGCAGNCGGAAGAAUAAGUCAGUGGUGAAAGCCCGCAGCUUAACUGCGGAACUGCCAUUGAUACUGUUUUUCUUGAGUUCGGUUGAGGUAGGCGGAAUGUGUAAUGUAGCGGUGAAAUGCUUAGAUAUUACACAGAACACCGAUUGCGAAGGCAGCUUACUAAACCGAAACUGACGCUGAGGCACGAAAGCGUGGGGAGCGAACAGGAUUAGAUACCCUGGUAGUCCACGCUGUAAACUAUGAUCACUCGCUGUUGGCAAUACAUCGUCAGCGGCUGAGCGAAAGCAUUAAGUGAUCCACCUGGGGAGUACGGUCGCAAGAUUGAAACUCAAAGGAAUUGACGGGGGCCCGCACAAGCGGUGGAACAUGUGGUUUAAUUCGAUGAUACGCGAGGAACCUUACCUGGGCUUAAAUGUAGACUGCAUUCUCGGGAAACCGAGAUUUCCUUCGGGACUGUUUACAAGGUGCUGCAUGGUUGUCGUCAGCUCGUGCCGUGAGGUGUCGGGUUAAGUCCCAUAACGAGCGCAACCCCUAUCGUUAGUUGCCAGCGAGUAAUGUCGGGGACUCUAGCGAAACUGCCGGUGUAAACCGCGAGGAAGGUGGGGAUGACGUCAAAUCAGCACGGCCCUUAUGUCCAGGGCUACACACGUGUUACAAUGGUCAGUACAAAGGGCAGCUACCUGGUGACAGGAUGCUAAUCUCAAAAACUGGUCUCAGUUCGGAUCGAAGUCUGCAAUUCGACUUCAUGAAGCUGGAAUCGCUAGUAAUCGCGCAUCAGCAACGGCGCGGUGAUACGUUCCCGGGCCUUGUACACACCGCCCGUCAAGCCAUGGAAGCUGGGGGUGCCUGAAGUCCGUAACCGCAAGGAGCGGCCU